UCGUGUAAAGAGAAAAUAAGCUCAGUUCCUCCACAAACGUAACAGCUUUUUGUUUAGCAGUUUUUCAUCAGAUCCUGAUGUUAAAGCAGCUCUCUGAACAGAGGAAAGCUGUAACACGUUUUAAACAGUUGAGAGCAGAGGGCAGAAGAUGGGGAAUUUGAGAAUUGGCAACACCCCACUGCUGCUGUUUGGGUUGUUUCAUACCGCCAUUUAAUGUGGGGCCAGAGAAACACAAUUGUUGGGGUUUGUGUCAUGACCCAAGUGAGAGAGGGAUUGUAGAAAUGUGCAUUGUUAGUGGUAACUAUGUCCUGGAACUGUAGCUUAAUAUAGUGUUGGUGAAUGCAACUCAAACGCCAAAACGAGUGGUUGUUCUUUACUUCAUUUCCUGUAUUCAUGCCUCAUGGUGCCUGCUUGUUUUGACAUCAACACUCGAUGUGAGCUGUAAGUAAAUUUUAAGGACACCCAGGCCAGAACAUAAACACAGGAGAAAGCAGUCGGCCAGAAUGACCACCCUCCACAACCUGCUGCCUGGACCUAUUAAUGGCCAGCUGGCCCGGCCCAGGAGCAGAUCCGCGAGGAGAUUCUCUGACCUGUCCGCUGCCCUCUGCACUGGGUGCUCAAUGACCAGGAGCAUGGGACUGAAGUGCAACCAGAAACAGAAAAGAUCCUUCAGGAUUAUGGAACUCCCUCUUGAAUUUUGGUGUUAUUGAAAAAACAAGGCAUGUGAUUGAAGCAUUUUGUCUUGCUUUCAUCAUGAUAAGCGCAAGAACAUCAACUUUCAAAUGAACAACAAUUUAUACUGCAUGAAAAAACAAUAGUGAUAGUUUGACAAGUCAACUCUGGUUGAGGUUUUUCAUUGAAAAAUGUGGCAAGAAAAUAAUGUGCCACACACUGGUUUAAUUUUGAAAAAAAGACAAUGCCUGGACAUGUUCCUUUUUCCUGCAGAGGAUAGGUUCUUGCUUAUGAGUACAUGUUUCUGAAACUUUAUGAGCUUUUAGCCAAUGAUUAGAUUAGAUUAGAUUACAAUGUGGAAACAGGCCCUUCGGCCCAACAAGUCCACACCGACCCGCCGAAG